rnacentral:rRNA from 1 species
AUGUAUGAUAUAAAGAAUAAUGAUAACCAUGAAACUUGUCAUCAUGAUUUUAAUUUUCAAUUGGAUUAUGCAUCACAUGAUAGUUAUUUUGUUGAGUUUGCUCCCACUACUAUUCAUGAGAAGAAAUUUGCUUAUGUGGAGAGUAAUAAAGAUUAUAUGCUUGUGGCUCAUGAAAAGAAUGCUUUAUGUGAUUGUUAUAUUGUUGAAUUCAUUCAUGAUGCUACUGAAAAUUAUUAUGAGGGAGGAAUAUAUGCUUGUAGGAAUUGCAAUAAUAUCAAGUUUCCUCUCUAUGUGUUGAAAAUCUUGAAGUUAUGCUUGUUUUUCCUUCCUAUGCUAGUUGAUUAUUGUUCCCAUAAAUUGUUUGCUCACAAAAUCCCUAUGCACAGGAAGUGGGUUAGACUUAAAUGUGCGAGUCAUAUUCUUCAUGAUGCUCUCUUUAUGUUUCAAUUCUUAUCUUUUAUGUGA